rnacentral:rRNA from 1 species
AUACGGAGGGUGCAAGCGUUAAUCGGAAUUACUGGGCGUAAAGCGUACGUAGGCGGUUUGUUAAGUCAUAUGUGAAAGCCCCGGGCUCAACCUGGGAACUGCAUUUGAAACUGGCAGGCUAGAGUAUGCUAGAGGGGGGUAGAAUUUCUGGUGUAGCGGUGAAAUGCGUAGAUAUCAGAAGGAAUACCAGUGGCGAAGGCGGCCCCCUGGACCAAUACUGACGCUGAGGUACGAAAGCGUGGGUAGCGAACAGAAUUAGAUACCCCGGUAGUCC